rnacentral:rRNA from 1 species
AUACGGAGGGUGCAAGCGUUACUCGGAAUCACUGGGCGUAAAGCGCGCGCAGGCGGCUUGAUAAGUUGGAUGUGAAAGCCUACGGCUCAACCGUAGAACUGCAUCCAAAACUGUCAAGCUAGAGUCUGGGAGGGGAAGAUGGAAUUAGUUGUGUAGGGGUAAAAUCCGUAGAGAUAACUAGGAAUACCAAAAGCGAAGGCGAUCUUCUGGAACAGUACUGACGCUGAGGCGUGAAAGCGUGGGGAGCAAACAGGAUUAGAUACCCUAGUAGUCC